AGAGGGCAACUGCUCUGAGCUCAGGGCCUGGGGAGGUGACUGUGUGGCAGGCGGGGUCCUAUGUGGCAGGCAGGGUCCCGUGUGGGGAAUGCUCAGAGCCCUGCUGACUCCACUGGCUUCUGGGCAUUCCUGGUCUGACCUCCAGGCCGGCUCCUGGGACCCUACCAGUCUGAGGGAUGGGGAAGGAAAGGGUAGGGCGGGCAACUGUGCCCGAGAGGGGACCCCAGCUCUGGACUCUGGCUGGCUCGAAACACCUUGGGGCCAUGCCCAUCUGUCCAGUUGGGCUGUAGAGAGGCUUGGAGGAGCCACCGGAGUGAAGGAGGGUCGCCAGCGUCUUUAAGAAACCGCAGGAUGCUGACGCCCCUAGAGCCCCCAUUGGGUUGGUGAGGAAGUGGGGGCCCUGGGGGGAUGUGUGAGUUGUGUUCCUCUCAGCAAGUCUGGCUUCCUUGGGGGCCUAGGAGGGGACACUGAGGGCUUGCUGUCCCCAUGGGGAGGUUGUAAGGUGAGACUCUCAGGAGCUCCUUCCUCCUGUCUAGGGGGUGCCCCCUUCCCCCCACCUUUCUGGGGUGACAGGCCCGGGGGGGCCCCCAGAUUUUCUGAGGCCUGGGGGCUGGCCUGGCCGGCUGGGUCAGGAAGUGAAGGGCUGGCAUGGGGGAGGGAGGGGAGGACUGGAAAGUGCAUUCCAGGCGGGUGACACAGCCUGCGGCCUUGGGGUGGGGUGGGGCCAGGCUGGGCUGCCCUUCUCGGGAAGGUCCCUGGGAUCCAGCUCCCCGAGGAGGCAGAUAAGAGGGGUGGGGCCUGGCUGCAUGGGAAGAGGAAAUUCCAGGCCUGGGACAGCUGCUGCUGUCUUUCAAGGCUGGAUUCAAAUGCCACCUCCUCCUGGAAGCCGCCUCAGAUUCCUCUGCAGCCCCUGGACCAGGGGCGCCCUCCUCCAGGGACCCCGGCUCCCCUGGGCUCUGGUCAGGUCAGCCCCAGGCUGGGCCCUCCACGGCCCUGAUCCACCGCAGCGCACUCCUGCUGUGCACCCCUGCAGUGCACCCCAGAACCUAAGCAGGGCCUGGCCGGGCCGCCCACAACCACGGAGCUGGGGCAGACGGGUGGUUCGCACUCUUUCUUGCUGACGAGAACCAGGGCUCUCCAGCCGCUCCUGGCAGCCGUCUUGUCACCAUGAGGGAACCCAAGAGGAGGACCAAGAUGUGGAGCCGGACCCUUGAUCAGACCUCUCCUGAAUCCCGCCUCUGGGCUUCCCAGUAAGAUCCCUGACUGUGUUUGGGCUGAGUUUCUAUUUUCUGGAGCUGAACGCAUCAGCUGAAAUAGCCAGACUGUCCAACAGGCAGGUUAAGCCCCUGGUUCACGUGUUUGUCACCCAUCCUCACCUUCCAGAUGUCCAGUCCCAUGAGGGUGGGACUGUGUCCCUGCUGCGUCCCCUGACUAGAACGGGGUGGACACAGAGUACACAGUACGUGCAAAAUAAAUACUGUUGAAUGCAGCCGGGCGCAGUGGCUCACCCCUGUAAUCCCAGCACCUUGGGAGGCUGAGGCAGGAGGAUAGCUUGAGGCCAGAAAUUGGAGACCAGCUUGGGCAACUUAGCAAGAUCCUGUUGCUACAAAAACUUAAAAUACUGUUGAAUGGAAGUGUCUUAAAUCACACUAUCAAAGCAAGGGGGAGAGUGAGCGAGCGAGAGAGAGAGAAAUGGAGAGAUGGAGAGAGACAGAGACAUGGGGAGAGAUGGAGAGAGAGGGAGACAGAGACCGGGGGGAGAGACCAGAACAGAAACAGCAAUACAGAGAUAGCGAGAUGAGUGGGGAGACAGAGUGACGGGCCCUCUCUGGUAAUCUCACCCAGAAGUUUACAGUCAGCAGAUCUGGGGAUCAUUCUGGACACCACAGUUUGCUGUGUGGAUUAUUUUGGAUUUCGAGGAUGAGGG
rnacentral:lncRNA from 1 species